rnacentral:sRNA from 1 species
GUUGAAUAUGCGCUGAAUUUUCCGUAGGAAAAACGGGGGAACCAAACUUGACCUACAGGUCAAAAGGGGUGAAUCGGCACCGGGUGAAAGCCCUGGUCCGUAGGGCUACCACAGUCCGAAUCCGCCAGCUAACCUCGUAAGCAAAAGUGGGAUAAUGA